UCGCGGCGCGUAUGUGUCUACAACGCGAUAAUCCAGUGAUAAUCCGGUUUGAACACGUUUGCCGAGGUAAAGAGACGUGGAUAUACCCGUCGUGAUUUACAUACAUGCGAAUAAGACGAUCGAAUCGACAAACGACGCCGACUGUUAACGAGUCUCAGUGCAUCAUCUAUGCUGCACUCCGAGAGUAUCUUUGAGUUGUUAUGUCUCACAUCGGCGAGUGAGUGAAGUUAGCAAGAACAGCACGACGAUUGCGAUUCUCGAAGUACUCUGUGCAUCGUCUUCAAAGCUAAUUUCAUAUCGCACUUGCGAUCGGCUAUCUUUGAAGACAGCCGUUUGGGCAUCGAGCUCCCGAAAUUCGCGGCUUUACGAGGGUGAAUAGAGUUGAAAAGCUGCAAAAGGAAUAAUCUCUUUGAGGAAAAAACUUCUACUAUAAGAAGAACGUCUGGAUGUAUCUGCUGGGAAAGGAAUGUCUGGAUACACAUUUGCUGGAAAAGGAAAGAAAAUACCUGUUGGAAAAGGAACAUCUCAAUAUGCUGUAAGAUA